UACGUAGGUGGCAAGCGUUGUCCGGAUUUACUGGGCGUAAAGAGCGCGCAGGCGGUCGUUCAAGUCGCGUGUGAAAGCCCCCGGCUCAACUGGGGAGGGUCACGCGAUACUGAUCGACUCGAAGGCAGGAGAGGGUAGUGGAAUUCCCGGUGUAGUGGUGAAAUGCGUAGAUAUCGGGGAGGAACACCAGUGGCGAAGGCGACUACCUGGCCUGUUCUUGACGCUGAGGCGCGAAAGCUAGGGGAGCAAACAGGG
rnacentral:rRNA from 1 species